CCAAUAGCGUAUAUUAAAGUUGUUGCAAUUAAAAAGCUCGUAGUUGAAUUUCGGGGUUCUACCGUUGGUCGGGCUUUGUCUGUACUGUCGUGUGGAAUUUCUACCUUCUGGGGAACCAUCAUGUUAUUAAUUUAACGUGGUGGGAAACCAGGACCUUUACCUUGAAAAAACUAGAUUGUUCAAAGCAGGCUUAUGUUUGAAUACAUUAGCAUGGAAUAAUAAAAUAGGACGGUGGUCCUGUUUUGUUGGUUUCUGAAUCACCGUAAUGAUUAAUAGGGAUAGUUGGGGGCAUUAGUAUUCAAUUGUCAGAGGUGAAAUUCUUGGAUUUAUUGAAGACUAACUUCUGCGAAAGCAUUUGCCAAGGAUGUUUUCAUUAAUCAAGAACGAAAGUUAGGGGAUCGAAGACGAUCAGAUACCGUCGUAGUCUUAACCAUAAACUAUGCCGACUAGGGAUCGGACGAUGUUAAUUUUUCUUGACUCGUUCGGCGCCUUACG
rnacentral:rRNA from 1 species